rnacentral:rRNA from 1 species
UAGUCCACGCCGUAAACGAUGAGAACUAGCCGUUGGGACCCUUGAGGUCUUGGUGGCGCAGCUAACGCGAUAAGUUCUCCGCCUGGGGAGUACGGCCGCAAGGUUAAAACUCAAAUGAAUUGACGGGGGCCCGCACAAGCGGUGGAGCAUGUUGUUUAAUUCGAUGCAACGCGAAGAACCUUACCACCCCUUGACAUCCUGCGAAUUUUCUAGAGAUAGAUUAGUGCCUUCGGGAACGCAGUGACAGGUGCUGCAUGGCUGUCGUCAGCUCGUGUCGUGAGAUGUUGGGUUAAGUCCCGUAACGAGCGCAACCCUUGUCCUUAUUUGCCAGCACAUUAUGGUGGGAACUCUAAGGAGACUGACGGUGACAAACCGUAGGAAGGUGGGGACGACGUCAAGUCAUCAUGGCCCUUACGGGGUGGGCGUACAAACGUGCUACAAUGGCAGGUACAAUGGGCUGCGAACCAGCAAUGGUGAGCGAAUCCCAAAAAACCUCUCGUAGUCCGGAUUGGGGU